UACAGAGGGAGCUAGCGUUGUUCGGAAUUACUGGGCGUAAAGCGCACGUAGGCGGCUUUGUAAGUUAGAGGUGAAAGCCCGGGGCUCAACUCCGGAACUGCCUUUAAGACUGCAUCGCUUGAAUCCAGGAGAGGUGAGUGGAAUUCCGAGUGUAGAGGUGAAAUUCGUAGAUAUUCGGAGGAACACCAGAAGCGAAGGCGGCCAACUGGCCCGAUACUGACGCUGAGGCGCGAAAGCGUGGGGAGCAAACAGG
rnacentral:rRNA from 1 species